AUUGAACGCUGGCGGCAGGCUUAACACAUGCAAGUCGAGCGGAGUGAUGGUGCUUGCACUAUCACUUAGCGGCGGACGGGUGAGUAAUGCUUAGGAAUCUGCCAUUUAGUGGGGGACAACAUUCCGAAAGGAAUGCUAAUACCGCAUACGUCCUACGGGAGAAAGCAGGGGAUCUUCGGACCUUGCGCUAAAUGAUGAGCCUAAGUCGGAUUAGCUAGUUGGUGGGGUAAAGGCCUACCAAGGCGAAGAUCUGUAGCGGGUCUGAGAGGAUGAUCAGUCACACUGGAACUGAGACACGGUCCAGACUCCUACGGGAGGCAGCAGUGGGGAAUAUUGGACAAUGGGCGAAAGCCUGAUCCAGCCAUGCCGCGUGUGAAGAAGGUCUUCGGAUUGUAAAGCACUUUAAGUUGGGAGGAAGGGUUGUAGAUUAAUACUCUGCAAUUUUGACGUUACCGACAGAAUAAGCACCGGCUAACUCUGUGCCAGCCGCCGCUGUAACAC
rnacentral:rRNA from 1 species